AAUGCUGUUAUGUCUAGAAGUUCACUCAAAGGGAGAGAACACAAGAAAUUUCCAUCUCCAUCGCAGAACCUAUUUCUUUGAUGGCAUAUCUACACUAAGUUCUAUAGUAAAGUGUUUUGAGUUCACACCUCUUUAGAGUUUCUGAAAAAUAAAAAUGCCACCUGGCUUUUUUUUAGAUCUCCUCUCUCAUAAGAAAGAAUUGCUAAAUAAUGAACUAAAAAUAAAACACUACGUGGAUGUUUGAUAACUGUUUUAUUUUAAUUUUUUUAUUUUUAUUUUGUUUAAUUUAUAAAUAAAAAUAGAAAACUUGUUUGUGUUGCAAAAAAUAAAUAAAAAUAAAGCAAAAUUAAUUGCACUAUUUUUGAAAAUAGUAAAAACAAGAAAAAGUUAUUUUUGUUUUGUUUACAAAAAAAUUUGGAUGAAUUUUUUUUGUAAAUUUUUCCAAUCACCUCAACCGCCUCCGCCUCCGCCUCCUUCACCACCACCACCACCGCCGCCGCCACCAUCUUUUUUUAAAAUAAUUUAAAAAUAGGUGAACACAAAUAUAUUUUUGUGUAAAAAUAAUUUAAAAAUAGGUGAACACAAACAUAUUUUUAGUUUCUGUUUUACAAAAAACAAAACAAAAGAAAAUAAAAAUUAAACAAAUACAAAAAAAAAUAGAAAAGUAAAAGUAAGAAAAGUUAUUUUUGUUUUGUUUAAAAAAAAAAAAUUCAUCCAAAUUUUUUCAAUCACCUCCGCCAUCACCUUCGCCACCACCAGCGCCACUUUCAUCUCCGCUACCAUCACCUCCUCCACCGCCACCGCUACUUUUUUUUUUAAAUAGUUUCAGAAAAUGUGAACACAAAUAUAUUUUUAUUUUUAAAUAUUUUAAAAAUAGGUGAACACAAACAUAUUUUUUAUUUUUAUUUUAUAAAAAACAAAACAAAACAAAAAUUAAAUAAACACAAAAAAUAGAAAAAUAAAAACGUUAUCAAACAUCCUCUACGUGUUCCAAACCAGUCAAAUCGCUACGCAUCCGAAUGACCCAUAGUCAAUUUCUAGGGUUUUCAUUUCAGCUGCAUACCCAUGGGUGAAUGGAUGAUCUAAGAGAUGUGAAUGGCUCGGGUUUUCAUUUCUCGGGGUUAUCGGCUUGAAUUUUUUGCUUUUUAUUAACCAGGUUAUUAGAUUUAUUUUGAUUGUCAUGUUUUUUAUUUCUUAUUUUCCAGCUGUGUAUUAUAACUGAGUUAUGUAUAUUUUGCUGAAAUGAAGAAAUGAACAACAUCUGAAAUGAAGAAAUGAACAACAUUAGAAGAAUAUGGAACAUGUUGAAUUUGUAGAGUCCAUGAGCCAGGUCCCUUUUCAUGGACUGGGGCUAGAUCCAUUUUCUCUGCUACUCAUUCUGCAGGUGGAGUUCACCAUAUAAAUAAAUAAUUAAGGCCCCGUUUGGCCCAAAAAAGUUUUUGAGAUAUUUUAGUUGCUUUGAUUUUUGAGAUUUUUUCGCUUCUAGUAAAUUUUUUUAAUCGUUUGAUCAAAAUUUUAUAUUUUGUUGUUCUUUUUAACGAGAAAAGUCUGAAAAUAUAAAAAUCUUUAUCUAAUUUAGAAAGAUGUUCACGAAAGUGAAAAAAGUAACACUUUUUUACUUGAUAAAUUAGCUAAAUUUUUAUCUUUUAAUAGAUUUCUUAUUCCAAAUUUAAACAAUCUUUUUUCAUUUUCGGAUUUUCUCGUCAAUAAGAAAAGAAAAAGUAUAUUUUUUUUCUUAAACAGAGAAAAAGUUCACAAAAAGAUGGAAAAAUUUCAAAAUCAAGCACCUAAAAAUCUAGAUUGUAUGAAUCUAUAAUAAAAACUGUUAAAACAAUUUUUAAUUAAAAAUAAUAUAUUUCUUCUUUUAAAAUGGAGAACUGGAUCGAAGAUUCUUAUAAGUAGCUUCGAACUUAUUUCAUCUAAUACCAUCAUACACAAAAAGUUACGUACAUGUUUGGCAAAAUUUUAAAGCAUCAACUUCUGCUUUUUAGUUUUAAAAUUUGUUUCAAAAUGUUUAAUAAAACUUCUGUUUAUGGAUUAAAAAUAAUUUAUAAAGCUAAAAAAGAGUUGAUUUUUGAAAGUUUUAUUUUAAAAAAUUUUAACUUCUAUUUUUAAGUAAAUAAUUUUAACAUAAGUUGAGCUAUUAUGCUAAACACACUCUAUACACAAUUUAUUGACUAUAGAACAACUAUACACACGUGAAUGUUACAUUUUCUAUUUCGUGCCAUCACAAACAAAAAUGGCAAUGUAUUCACAGUGAAGAGCAAAAACCGAGCUGAUUAUGUGCCCACAACAUAACUCUCUCUCUCUCUCCACUGAUGGAUUAGAAGAGAAGUUGAAGUUUGCACAAUUAGUGCGUCGCAACAGCAGCAAAGAGCUAAAGCCCAACCCAGACCAGCCAAAAUCAAACUGGACCAGAUUAUCCUCCAAUGGAUGGGCCACAAUCACAAUCUCAACCUUUGGGCGCAGCCCGACAUCAGUAAACGCCGAAGAGGUCACC
rnacentral:lncRNA from 1 species